ACCGCCCCUCCCGCCGCGCGGGCGUCGCCGGCCACCUCCCUCCCGUCGUGUGCGCCAAAGUCGGCCGCCCUCCCAGCUCCCAUUCUCCCAUCCCCAAUACAGCAAAGGUGACCAAAAAGUAAGAAAGUGAAAGCGGAGCAGUGGAGGCCACCAUCCCUUCUCUGCAACACAUCAACUUGGCAUGGCAGAUUCAAUGCUUAGCACGGUUCCUUCAUGGCUCCCCGUAGGGAUGGACCCCUUAACUACAUAUUUGUUGGAAAUCAAACUAGCCGGGGAUCGAAAAAAUGCUAGGGUGGAAUAUGAUUGGUUUAUUUUCAGUAAAGUGAUAGACUCAAAUGCGAUGUGCUACAAAGACUUUAUUGAUGGAUUUUGUUAUUGUGAUGCCGUACAAAGUGGUCUAGUCAUAGUUGACAUAUUUUGCUAUUGUAAGGAUUGCUUCCUCAUGAUGUAUUGAUGCACUGUUAUGGACCUUAUGCCAUUAUGCUCAUGAUAUACUGCCUAGCUAAUUUGGUUUGUUGGUUGCACUAUUUUGUUUGAAAUGGAAAGUUGGUUUGUUUCCUGCACUAUUGAGUAUGGAAAUGGAAUUGUGGGUGCGCAUGAUAUGAACUGUUAUGUAUGGAUGAUGGAAAGAUUAUGUUCUGUGCAUGAUAUUGUGUGUUCUGUAUGGAUAUCUCUAUUGUUAUGUAUGAUGGUAUUCAUGCUCUUAUUUUACCAUAAUCAAUUUCUUA